rnacentral:rRNA from 1 species
UACGGAGGUGGCAAGCGUUGCUCGGAAUCACUGGGCGUAAAGGGCGCGUAGGCGGGGAGGUAAGUCGGACGUGAAAUCCCCAGGCUCAACCUGGGAACUGCGUCCGAUACUGGAUGGCUUGAAUCCGGGAGAGGGAUGCAGAAUUCCAGGUGUAGCGGUGAAAUGCGUAGAUAUCUGGAGGAAUACCGGUGGCGAAGGCGGCAUCCUGGACCGGCAUUGACGCUGAGGAGCGAAAGCCAGGGGAGCAAACGGG